rnacentral:rRNA from 1 species
CAGUAGUCAUAUGCUUGUCUCAAAGACUAAGCCAUGCAUGUCUAAGUUUAAGCGAUUUAAACGGUGAGACUGCGGACGGCUCAUUAUAUCAGUUAUAGUUUAUUUGAUGGUCGAUUACUACAAGGAUAACCGUAGGAAUUCUAGAGCUAAUACUUGCACUUCAAGGUGAUUUAAUCAUCACCUGCACUUAUUAGAUUUACCACCAAUGCUCUUCGGAGCUUCGGUGAUUCAUAGUAAUUUAGCGGAUCGCUACGACUUCGGUCGCGACGCUUCAUUCAAAUUUCUGCCCUAUCAGCUUUCGAUGGUAGUGUAUUGGACUACCAUGGCUUUGACGGGUAACGGAGAAUUAGGGUUCGAUUCCGGAGAGGGAGCCUGAGAAACGGCUACCACAUCUAAGGAAGGCAGCAGGCGCGCAAAUUACCCAAUCCCAACGCGGGGAGGUAGUGACAAGAAAUAACAACAACUAACCUAUUUCAGGUGAGUUGAUUGGAAUGAGUACAAUCUAAACACCUUAACGACUAUCCAUUGGAGGGCAAGCCUGGUGCCAGCAGCCGCGGUAAUUCCAGCUCCAAUAGCGUAUACUAAUGUUGUUGCAGUUAAAAAGCUCGUAGUCGGAUUUCAGUAGGCUCAGUUUAGUCUUCAUUGUAAGAUCUAUAUGGGCCUGCUUCUUUGACAGAAACUUCUAUGUUAUUCAUUUAGCGUGGGCAGCGACUGUCUCUUUUACUUUGAGAAAAUUAGAGUGUUCAAAGCAGGUAGAUGCCUGAAUAUUACUCUUGGAAUAAUGCUAUAAGACUUUGGUUCUAAUGUAUUGGUGAUUGGGACCA